GUGACCUGCGGAAGGAUCAUUACCGAGUUUUCGGGCUUCGGCUCGACUCUCCCACCCUUUGUGAACGUACCUCUGUUGCUUUGGCGGCUCCGGCCGCCAAAGGACCUCCAAACUCCAGUCAGUAAACGCAGACGUCUGAUAAACAAGUUAAUAAACUAAAACUUUCAACAACGGAUCUCUUGGUUCUGGCAUCGAUGAAGAACGCAGCGAAAUGCGAUAAGUAAUGUGAAUUGCAGAAUUCAGUGAAUCAUCGAAUCUUUGAACGCACAUUGCGCCCCUUGGUAUUCCGGGGGGCAUGCCUGUUCGAGCGUCAUUACAACCCUCAAGCUCUGCUUGGAAUUGGGCACCGUCCUCACUGCGGACGCGCCUCAAAGACCUCGGCGGUGGCUGUUCAGCCCUCAAGCGUAGUAGAAUACACCUCGCUUUGGAGUGGUUGGCGUCGCCCGCCGGACGAACCUUCUGAACUUUUCUCAAGGUUGACCUCGGAUCAGGUAGGGAUACCCGCUGAACUUAAGCAUAUCAAUAGGCCGGAGGAA
rnacentral:rRNA from 1 species